CAGCGGCGCGUUCCAGCACGCAGAAGCCCUUUCCCAGCCGUUACCUCCCUGGCACUGCGCAACGGCCCCCGCCCCGGCCCAGGGAGUCUCUCCAGAAGCGGGAGACUAAAUAACCAGGACAAAGGAGCGCGCCUCUAUUUACAAGGAUAAACUUUGAUGCCAUACCAACACUACCUUGAUGGACCUGAGCAGAAACCUGCCAGAUAUGGAUGGUAUUAUUAUUUCUAGCUUAUAACUGGAAGAAGUGAAGUACAUAAGAGUUAAAAGUCAUACAGUAGGGGCAGAGGUGCAGCAGAAUACUUGUUAUGAAGUUGGAAGACUGAAUAAAUGUGUCAAAGAACGAAGGGAUAAUAUAGCUCAGUACAUAUGAUUGAAAAUGACUCUUGUUUUAUAGCCUUCUGGAGGUCUUCCCGUAAAACAGCAAGACGACACUGUUCAAUUAAUGGUUUUGAAGAGCGCUUUUGCCCGGCUGCGGGGAGACGAGCGCAAUAAUCAGAC
rnacentral:lncRNA from 1 species